GACGAACGCUGGCGGCGUGCUUAACACAUGCAAGUCGAACGGAAAGGCCCUGCUUUUGUGGGGUGCUCGAGUGGCGAACGGGUGAGUAACACGUGAGUAACCUGCCCUUGACUUUGGGAUAACUUCAGGAAACUGGGGCUAAUACCGGAUAGGAGCUCCUGCUGCAUGGUGGGGGUUGGAAAGUUUCGGCGGUUGGGGAUGGACUCGCGGCUUAUCAGCUUGUUGGUGGGGUAGUGGCUUACCAAGGCUUUGACGGGUAGCCGGCCUGAGAGGGUGACCGGCCACAUGGGGACAGAGAGACGGCCCAGACUCCGACGGGAGGCAGCAGGGGGGAAUAUUGCACAAUGGGCGGAGGCCUGAUGCAGCAACGCCGCGGGCGGGAUGACGGCUUUGGGGUUGUAAACCGUUUUCGCCUGGGACGAAGCGGGAGUGACGGUAAUGGGUAAAAAAGCACCGGCUAACUAGGUG
rnacentral:rRNA from 1 species